rnacentral:rRNA from 1 species
UAGAGUUUGAUCCUGGCUCAGAUUGAACGCUGGCGGCAGGCCUAACACAUGCAAGUCGAACGGUAACAGGAAGAAGCUUGCUUCUUUGCUGACGAGUGGCGGACGGGUGAGUAAUGUCUGGGAAACUGCCUGAUGGAGGGGGAUAACUACUGGAAACGGUAGCUAAUACCACAUAACGUCGCAAGACCAAAGAGGGGGACCUUCGGGCCUCUUGCCAUCGGAUGUGCCCAGAUGGGAUUAGCUAGUAGGUGGGGUAACGGCUCACCUAGGCGACGAUCCCUAGCUGGUCUGAGAGGAUGACCAGCCACACUGGAACUGAGACACGGUCCAGACUCCUACGGGAGGCAGCAGUGGGGAAUAUUGCACAAUGGGCGCAAGCCUGAUGCAGCCAUGCCGCGUGUAUGAAGAAGGCCUUCGGGUUGUAAAGUACUUUCAGCGGGGAGGAAGGGAGUAAAGUUAAUACCUUUGCUCAUUGACGUUACCCGCAGAAGAAGCACCGGCUAACUCCGUGCCAGCAGCCGCGGUAAU